AGGGUUUGAUCCUGGCUCAGGACUAACGCUGGCGGCGUGCCUAACACAUGCAAGUCGAACGCAUCUGUGCUUCGGUACAGAUGAGUGGCGAACGGGUGAGUAACACGUGAGUAACUCCCCUGGGGGAGGGGGAUAACCAUCUGAAAAGGUGGCUAAUACCCCAUAUUCUCUUUUCUCAUAAGAGGAAAGAGGAAAGAUGGCGUAAGCUAUCACCCCGAGAGAGGCUCGCGUCCCAUCAGCUAGUUGGUAAGGUAAGAGCUUACCAAGGCUAUGACGGGUAGCUGGUCUGAGAGGAUGGUCAGCCACACUGGGACUGAGACACGGCCCAGACUCCUACGGGAGGCAGCAGUGAGGAAUCUUGGGCAAUGGGCGAAAGCCUGACCCAGCGACGCCGCGUGGAGGAAGAAGGCCUUCGGGUCGUAAACUCCUGUUCGGGGAGAAGAACAGGAGGGAAGUGAAUAACUUCUCUCCCUGACGGUAUCCUCGGAGAAAGCUCCGGCUAAUUACGUGCCAGCAGCCGCGGUAAUACGUAAGGAGCGAGCGUUGUCCGGAUUUACUGGGCGUAAAGAGCUCGUAGGUGGUUUCUUAGGUCUCACGUGAAAUUCCCUGGCUCAACUGGGGAGGGUCGUGGGAAACCGAGAAGCUAGAGGGCAGGAGAGGAGAGUGGAAUUCCCGGUGUAGCGGUGAAAUGCGUAGAGAUCGGGAGGAACACCAGUGGUGAAGACGGCUCUCUGGACUGUCCCUGACACUGAGGAGCGAAAGCCAGGGGAGCGAACCGGAUUAGAUACCCGGGUAGUCC
rnacentral:rRNA from 1 species